CAACCUACCUUAUACUGGGGGGUAGCCUUUGGAAACGGAGAUUAAUACCCCAUAGUACAUUUGAUUGGCAUCAAUUAAAUGUUAAAGAUUUAUCGGUAUAAGCUGGGCAUGCGUCCAAUUAGUUAGUUGGUGAGGUAAUGGCUCACCAAGACUUUGAUUGGUAGGGGAACUGAGAGGUUAAUCCCCCACACUGGCACUGAGAUACGGGCCAGACUCCUACGGGAGGCAGCAGUAAGGAAUAUUGGGCAAUGGAGGCAACUCUGACCCAGCCAUGCCGCGUGCAGGAAGAAGGCGUUAUGCGUUGUAAACUGCUUUUAUAUAGGAAGAAAUAGUCCUUGCGAGGAAAGUUGACGGUACUAUAUGAAUAAGCACCGGCUAACUCCGUGCCAGCAGCCGCGGUAAUACGGAGGGUGCAAGCGUUGUCCGGAUUUAUUGGGUUUAAAGGGUGCGUAGGCGGUUUAUUAAGUCAGUGGUGAAAGACGGUCGCUCAACGAUUGCAGUGCCAUUGAUACUGGUAGACUUGAGUGGGAUUGA
rnacentral:rRNA from 1 species